rnacentral:rRNA from 1 species
GUCUAUAUAGAUUCUUAAUAUAAAGUCUAACCUGCCCACUGAGUUAUUAAAGGGCUGCGGUAAUUUGACCGUGCAAAGGUAGCAUAAUCAGUAGUCUUUUAAUUGAAGGCUUGAAUGAACGGUUGGAUGAGGGAAAAACUGUCUCUCUCAUAAAUUGAAACUUGACCUUUAAGUGAAAAGGCUUAAAUUAACUAAGGGGACGAUAAGACCCUAUAAAACUUAAUAUAAAUUAUAUUUUGUUCUUAAAUUAUAAAUAAUCAUAAUAAAAUCUAGUUUAUAUUUUGUUGGGGAGAUAUUGAUAUAAAUUGUAACUGUCUAAUCUAAAAAACAUAAUUAUUAUUAUAAUGUGGUCCUUCACUGAGGAUAAAAAGAAUAAGUUACUUUAGGGAUAACAGCGUAAUUUUUUCUGAGAGUUCUUAUCGAAGAAAGUAGUUGCGACCUCGAUGUUGAAUUAAAAUUUCAGUUAGGUGUAGCCGCUUAGCU